UGCGUAGGCGGUUCGUUAAGUCUGUCGUGAAAGCCCUGGGCUCAACCUGGGAAUUGCGAUGGAUACUGGCGAGCUAGAGUACGGUAGAGGAUGGUGGAAUUCCCGGUGUAGCGGUGAAAUGCGUAGAGAUCGGGAGGAACACCCGUGGCGAAGGCGGCCAUCUGGACCAGUACUGACGCUGAGGCACGAAAGCGUGGGGAGCAAACA
rnacentral:rRNA from 1 species